GAAUUGACGGGGGCCCGCACAAGCGGUGGAGCAUGUGGUUUAAUUCGACGCAACGCGAAGAACCUUACCAGGGCUUGACAUCCCCUGACCGCGUAUGAAAGUACGUUUUCACCUUCGGGUGACAGGGAGACAGGUGGUGCAUGGUUGUCGUCAGCUCGUGUCGUGAGAUGUUGGGUUAAGUCCCGCAACGAGCGCAACCCCUAUUGUUAGUUGCCAUCAUUCAGUUGGGCACUCUAGCGAGACUGCCGGUAAUAAACCGGAGGAAGGUGGGGAUGACGUCAAAUCAUCAUGCCCCUUAUGACCUGGGCUACACACGUGCUACAAUGGUUGGUACAACGAGUUGCGAGUCGGUGACGGCGAGCUAAUCUCUUAAAGCCAAUCUCAGUUCGGAUUGUAGGCUGCAACUCGCCUACAUGAAGUCGGAAUCGCUAGUAAUCGCGGAUCAGCACGCCGCGGUGAAUACGUUCCCGGGCCUU
rnacentral:rRNA from 1 species